CACAACCAUCUGUAAUGAGAUCUGAUGCCCUCUUCUGGUGUGUAGACAUACAUGCAGACAAAACACCAUUGUACAUAAGUGAAAAGUGAAAAAGACCCUCUCUCCUCUUUAUUUAGAAUGAUGCCAGUUCUGACCUACGAUCAGUAUCUACUAUAGUCCGCACACUAUCACAGAGGGCAGGUUAACUCUUUGCCAUUGGAUCUAAUAGUGCCUUUUAUCAAGUUCAGAGUAUUACAAACUGCCUUCGGUUAUUCUGAGACUAUCUGACAAUACUAUGAAUAUGUAAUGAUUUUACUGAAAAGAUAGGACUUUUAGUAAAUAAUUCCUCCCUGUGCAUCUUUGCUCUCCAUAAAGAAUGAUAUACCAAAAUAAUUCUGGGAAUCUAGGUAAAAGACAAAUGCGGUUUCCAACCACUUGAAAGCACUUCUUAGUACUGUAUGGUUUCUCACUUGUUUGUAAACACAUCGGUUCAAAAGUGUCUGACGCUCAGUGGGCUCUUGCGGGGUCUCACUGCAACGGUUACUGAGGAAGCCAUAGUGGAUGGCUAUUACAAGAGCUGAGCUGCAGGAAGUGAGUCACUGCGCAUGUGCCAUGGCAGCAUAUGGACCUGGGAUCCCUCAUCUCUGUUUCCUGGCCAUCCCUGAGAUAAGCUACUUCCUUUGACACAUGCUCUGGUUGUCAUGAUGAUGUCCUGCCUCACCCCAGGCAGAAAGCAACAGAGGCAGUAGAUCACGGAAUGAGACCUCUGAGACCUGGGGCUAAACUAUAGCAUGAACCUUGUAACUUUCUUGUCUGGGGAGAUGCUUUGCUCUAGUGACGGAAAUAAACACAACCAGCGAGAACAAACUCUAAGACUAGAUGCCGGCUAACACUGUUCCCCUUCCCUUUACAUCCCGCCGAAGCAACAGCAGUUUUUGUUUGUUUGGUUGGUUUGAUUUGGUUUUUCCAGACAGGAUUUCUCUGUGUAGCCCUAGCUGUCUUGGAACCAGCUCAAACUCACAGAGAUCCACCUGCCUCUGCCUCUCCAGUGCUGGGAUCAAAGGUGUGCACCACCACCGCCAGCAGCAACAGCAGUCUUUAUCAACAGCUUCUGGAAGUGUUUUUGGACGAGCCCAUGUUUAUUAACAGACAUGAAUGAUCUCCAAAGGCUCUACCCUCUGCCCCGCCUCCACCUCUGCCCCGCCUCCACUCUGGCUGCAGGCAGUACAAAGGACCAUGCAGUCAUGCUUCAAAGAGCAUCUUGGGCUGUGAAGCACUGUCUUUUCCUGAGGAUGACAGUCGCUGGGCUAUGCUCCAUCUCUUUCCUACAGACACUCGCAUCACUCAGAUCUACUAGCUGAUGUCACUGGAGGUACCUCCUGGAUAGGAACAGUCAGACUUGGGUUUAGACACGGAGCUAUCUUCAGGAGUAUGGGUCUUGUAAAAUCCUCUCUGCUUAAAGAAAAGGCAAGAUGCUCAGAGUUACUGGAGAAAUAUUGUGGAGGUUUGCUGGAACAAACAGGGUGUACAGAAAUCAUGAAAACUAAAAACAUUACGCUGGCCCAGUGAUCUAUAAAGCUACACAAAUAUGAA